rnacentral:pre_miRNA from 1 species
GGGGGGAGCGCAGGAUCCUGGGCUGUGUCCCCCGGCGCCCUGGGAUCUGGGACCUGCGCCGCUGGAAUCGGGCUCCCAGGGCCACGCAGCCUCCU